GAGCACCUAUUAUGGGAUACACGUUUUUAAACAUCCUUUUGUGUGUAAGUGUGCAUUAGUACAUGCUAACGAUAUUCAAAAAGUACAUACCUCAAAGAAAACGAUGACGCGAGUUAUCGUCUCUAACGUUCGAGGACUACAAAAAACACUCGGAUUGUAGGCAACAGUUUACUUCCUGGGAUUAGUGACGUAGAUAAGACCAACAUUAUCAUAGUUCAGCCCUCUCUGCUUUGCUUGGGUACGCCCUCAAAGACGAGGGUGGGGAGCGCCGAGUCAGAAGAGAGCUAAAAUGGCGGAGGUUGUGAGUCCCUGCUUUGACUCUGUUUGCAAACUCUUGUUUCAUUGUUUAAGCGAUUAAAUCUCUCGAGUAGACGCUGUCUCUUUAGAUGCGAGGGAAAAAUAGCACUUUAUGGACUUCCACAGAGGACAUCAUGUUUAAUACGGUUCCGGAAAAAUCCAGUCAGAAGUUGUUCACGGAGUUUUCACAAUAACUGCUUCUCAUGAACCGAAGCUGGAUUUGCGCGACGUCUCCUCUUGAAAGUUGGAUUACUGUGCACUUUUGGAUCACAGGCUAUUCGCAGCUGUACACAUCCUUCUACACUGUAUGCAAACAUGCAACAUCAUUACACACAGUACAAGGAGUCAGACUGGCAUAUGAGGAGCAAAGGUGUGUAACACAUAUGAUGUAUUUAGCUAGUGAAACCACUACCAGUCUUAGAUGUAUAACUGAUGAUGACAAAGUUUUUUUUCUCUGCAUAAUAAUAGGAACCCAGGCAGUAGCAUCGUUUCACAAUGUUUCCAUCACCAUCAUCAGUGGAUGCCUUUGCCGUCCGUAGCCUGAGAUUUCAGAUUUGCAGCAAAAAAAUUUAGAUUUUCUCAUUUAUUGGAAUGCUGUGCAGGUAUUUAAGUAUUUUAGUAACUUUGUUAAAUAAAGUAGUAUUUACUUUUACAAUAAAUUAAUUGCUUGUUUAUAUUUUACAGGUAUUUGCACCUUGCAGCCAUCCAUUACAAUGUCACCAAGCCGUAACAAAAGCAGGAGAGGAAAAGUACAAGGCUAUGUUCCCAAAACACACAAGUGACAUACCUUAUGUGGAGGAUGUGAUCAGGCUUGUGUUUGAUGAGGUAUUUGAAGAUAAGCUGAAGGAAGCCCUGAUUCCAAUGGACCUGGCAUCACAGUUUGAGAGACCUUCAAAGGAGGACAUGAUUGCAUGCCAUCUUCAGUGCAGGGGUCGUCGAAAGCCAAAAUUGUGACCGAUCUGAUCAGGAAGCUCCAAGCGUAUCUGGAGAACAACACACGACAGGAUGAUAACCUUAUAGUGUCGUCUUAAAUAGCACCAGCUGACAAAGCUUUGAUAUGCCAUUUAUCUGAAUAGAUAGCUGUAAGAAAUGAAUUGAACAAUUUUUGAA